AUUGAACGAUGGCGGCAGGCCUAACACAUGCAAGUCGAGCGAGUGGCGGACGGGUGAGUAAUGUCUGGGAAACUGCCUGAUGGAGGGGGAUAACUACUGGAAACGGUAGCUAAUACCGCAUACCAUCGGAUGUGCCCAGAUGGGAUUAGCUAGUAGGUGGGGUAAAGGCUCACCUAGGCGACGAUCCCUAGCUGGUCUGAGAGGUUGACCAUCCACACGGGAACUGAGACACGGUCCAGACUCCUACGUGAGGCAGCAGUGGGGAAUAUUGCACAAUGGGCGCAAGCCUGAUACAGCCAUGCCGCGUGUAUGAAGAAGGCCUUCGGGUUGUAAAGUACUUUCAGCGGGGAGGCGUUACCCGCAGAAGAAGCACCGGCUAACUCCGUGCCAGCAGCCGCGGUAAUUC
rnacentral:rRNA from 1 species